GUUUGAUAUCACCAGAACUGAGACUUGAGUCCAGCAGGGGCAAGCGAUGAAAUAAAGGAAAGCCAACAUGACGCAUGCCUGAGUGACCAGGAAUUGGGUUGUGUGCUGUGCACUUCUGUCUCAUUUCUGAUCACAGGCCUAAGGUAAUAGAACCUGCACUCCAGUGGACCCACUUGAGUCUGGACACCACCUAUACCAGGAAAGAAGUAGUUCCAGGAUAUACCUGGAAGACCACUACGCUAAAGGAGAUGGGCUAAUGAGAGCAGAGGAGCAGAGGCAGCCAAGA